rnacentral:misc_RNA from 1 species
UCACCGUUGGUGAACCAGCGGAGGGAUCAUUACAGGACUCGCAAGACUCCUUCACCCUGUGAACCUCACUACAAGCACGUUGCUUCGGCGGGUGUCCCGGCGGGGGUUUUCCCUCGCCGGGGCGCACAGCCCGCCGGCAGCCUACUAUACUCUGUCUCUUUGCGUUGGCAUCUCGAGAAAAAACAAACAAGUUAAAACUUUCAACAACGGAUCUCUUGGUUCUG